UACGUAGGGGGCGAGCGUUGUCCGGAUUUAUUGGGCGUAAAGAGCGUGUAGGCGGCCACGCAGGUCCGUUGUGAAAACUGGAGGCUCAACCUCCAGCUGUCGACGGAAACCGUAUGGCUAGAGUCCGGAAGAGGAGAGUGGAAUUCCUGGUGUAGCGGUGAAAUGCGCAGAUAUCAGGAAGAACACCAAUGGCGAAGGCAGCUCUCUGGGACGGUACUGACGCUGAGACGCGAAAGCGUGGGGAGCGAACAGG
rnacentral:rRNA from 1 species